AGGCGGCGCCUGCGGAACCACCCCGGCGGCGCGGCGGGGCCCGACCUCUCUCUGUUCCUGGCGCCGUGGGGGCCUGCAUCGGCGCUGGGUGGGGUCGGCCGCCAUGAGGUGAGGUGAAGUGAAUGCGCCGGGCCGCCUCCCCACCCUGCCGCCAUGAGGUGAAGGCGCCGGGCCGCUUCCUCUCCCCCCCCUGCAGCCGUGAGGUGAGGUGAAGACGCCGGGCCGCUUUCCUCCGCCAUCCCCCCCCGCCAUGAGGUGAAGGCGCCGGGCCACCUCCUUUCCCCCCUGCCGCCAUGAGGUGAGGUGAAGACGCCGGGCCGCUUUCCUCCCCUACCCACCCGCCAUGAGGUGAAGGCGCCGGGACUCCGCUGCCGUGAGGGCUUCCAGCUGAUAUGCAGCUUAAGUGUGAGUGAAGAGAUGGCUGUAACUCGGAAGGCUUAGGUGGCAAAGAGCUGUCUGGAAGACACAUCCUUCAGGCAAGUGGUUUGCAUGUUUCCCUGCGGGUGGGGGUUCACUGAGGCAGCAGUUGACAAAAGAAAAGAAAGAAGCUGUUGGUGCUGCAUUGAAGAGCCCCAUCUGAAGGAGACUGAGAAGAUGGAAGCUUCCACAAUUUAAAUGGGGCUACUGGAGGAGUACUUGUUUUCAGGAUCUGGAUGUAGUAACUUGAAACAUCAAAGGGGGUUGGGGCAAGGUAUUAACAAGAAUUACAUAUACACUUUGUUAAUUGUUAAUCCCCUCCUGCUGUUUAAACCAAUAUUUUUUCUGUGACCUCUAUUUAUUAAACUUAUUUAAACUUGCAAACUUAUUUAUAUUUAAACUUUUCGUUUUGGUUUUCAUUCUGUUGUAAGGCUGUGGGUGCAGCAGGGUUUGAAAGUCAGGUUGAAUUCUUGUCUGUGGGAGACUGGGGAGGCCAGAAUGCGGUGCUGAGCGCCUGGUGCCCCUCCUGAGGCCACGCACACACGCUGUGCUCCGUAGCUUCUGCUGCAAGGGCUGGUUUUUAACAAGGUUUCCUUUUCUCCUGCACUUUGAAGGAGAUCAGAUGUUUACAGACAGAUGUUUAUGUUUCCAUAAAGGAAAUAAAAGUCUGGAAUUCCUAUUUCUGCUAUGAGUUCAUAAGAUACCCUUCCCAUGCUUCAGUUCCUCACUUGAGAGAACUUUGGCAUUAUCUCCCUUCCCUGGGUGAGUUGGAAAGGUGCCGAUUACGUAAAAUACAUUGAAACUGGUGGGGAGGGGACAGGCGAUAAAAAUGCCAUUGAAACUCAAAAAUGAGCACAGUUGUCAGAGCAGAGGAGGGUGUUGCUCUCGCCAAGAUGCCUGACCCAUCUGGAUUCAGUGCAGUCUUCUGGAGAACCCCGUGCUUGUGAAAUAAUCCAGACUUAGGAGGUGUUUCAGGCUAAAACGUCUGUUUUCAGCUUUUAAAAAAUGGUUCAAAAGUCACAUUACGUUACAAUUAGCCAACUGUAGAUGCUGCUGUAGUUACAGUGCCAUCUAUGUACAAACUGACCUGAGAGGCAGGACAGGGGACUGCUGCUGCACCCCGUGCUGCAGUGCAGGGGUGUAACGGGUAUUCACAGUGUUAGAGCUGGGGCUUGUAACUGUGGGGCUUCUGGUAAGAAGGCAGCAGGCAACAGGUUAGUUCCUGAGUUACGGAUGGUUUAAGUCAAACAGGAGCUGCUGUCAUGCAGUUAGUAGAAAUUAAUUACAGUGUGGAAUUUUUUUCAGGGCUCUCCUAAUUUUGAAACAUCCCCUGUGCUGCUCACUUCCCUGUUAGCCCUUCUGCCAUCUGGUAGUGCUGACCUCUGACUACGCAUUUGUUACGCUCCGUGUGGAAAUAUCUGUCAAAGUAUUCAACAUUAUUAGAAAAAAGUAUUUUCUUAGUUGAAGUUUAUGACAUACAUGAAUAAUUUUACUGGUUCUAUAUGAACGAGUUCUACCUGCAAAACUAAUGACCAGGCUUCCUAUGGAUUUAUGUUGUAAUCUUCCUCUUUGCCAGUACUUGCCCAGGAGGAGAGCGAUGGGUGCUCUGCGGCUGGCUGCCCGCUGCCCUCAGGGUGGCUGUGGGUUGCUGACUGCCAAGAACCAAGCUCGCUGCGUUAGGGGUCUCUUGUUUCUGUGUUUCUGAAAUUGGCAGAAA